rnacentral:rRNA from 1 species
AUUGAACGCUGGCGGCAGGCCUAACACAUGCAAGUCGAGCGAGCGGCGGACGGGUGAGUAAUGUCUGGGAAACUGCCUGAUGGAGGGGGAUAACUACUGGAAACGGUAGCUAAUACCGCAUACCAUCAGAUGUGCCCAGAUGGGAUUAGCUAGUAGGUGGGGUAAUGGCUCACCUAGGCGACGAUCCCUAGCUGGUCUGAGAGGAUGACCAGCCACACUGGACCUGAGAAACGGUCCAGACCCCAACGGGGGGCAGCGGUGGGGAUUAUGGCACAAUGGGCGCAAGCCUGAUGCAGCCAGGCGGGGUGUGUGAAGAAGGCCUUCGGGUUGUAAAGCACUUUCAGCGGGGAGGCGUUACCCGCAGAAGAAGCACCGGCUAACUCCGUGCCAGCAGCCGCGGUAAUA